UACGUAGGUGGCAAGCGUUGUCCGGAAUUAUUGGGCGUAAAGCGCGCGCAGGCGGUUAUGUAAGUCUGGUGUUAAAGCCCGGGGCUCAACCUCGGUUCGCAUUGGAAACUGCGUAACUUGAGUGCAGAAGAGGAAAGUGGUAUUCCACGUGUAGCGGUGAAAUGCGUAGAGAUGUGGAGGAACACCAGUGGCGAAGGCGACUUUCUGGUCUGUAAAUGACGCUGAGGCGCGAAAGCGUGGGGAGCAAACAGG
rnacentral:rRNA from 1 species